CUGUUGAAGAGACGUAACAAGUUUUAAGUUACACAUUGCCCUCUUAACUCAAUUAGCAAUAUGCAUAAAGUUAUAUACAUGUAAUAUUCCUAGGUUUAAUUCCUUCUAAAAUUUUGCAAAGAUGAUAUUUGGCAACAUGCAAACUGUAGACACCCCUUUUUAAUAAUAUAAAAAAAUAAUAAAAAAUUAAAAAUUAAAAAUUAAAAAAAAUCAAAAUUAAAAAAAAAAAAAGUUGAAAGCAUGCUUAGCCUCCAUUGUCAACAAAAUACAGAGCAUUCAAUGCUCGUUGGGCAGUCGGGAUUUGGGAGAUCAUGGCCGGUGGAUUUGUUUUGACUUUAAGGCUUUUGAUUGUCCAAAAUUUUGGACAAUCAAACUCUGAAGCCUUUGGAAACCCACGCAUAAAAGGAAAAGCCGGAUUGAAAACCAGGAGAGCCUAGAGAGAAAGGGAGUUAGCAAAAACAAAGGCAAGAAAGAAAAACAGAGCAAAAAAAUCUAGCAUAGAUCCUAAUUAUGUUACUCUAGCAACCUGUAAAAUACCCAACAAAUUACAAAAUAAAAAGCCUUAUUCUCUACUAACAACUAAAAGCCAUAAUAAAAAAAAAAUCUAAAGAUCAAAAAAAUAUAGCACGGAUCGGUGUUAGGAGGAAAAGGUUAUGGGUGUGGUAGGUCGGCUGUGAAAGGAGAGAGAGCAUUUGGUAGAGAAGGAAGGAAAAGAAAAAAAGAGGGGGAAAGGGAAGGAAGGCGUCGGCGGCAAAGAAGAGGAAAGAGAAAGAGAGAAGAACAAAAGAGAGAAGAGGGAGAAGAGGAAAAGCCCGGCAAAGAGAGAGUGAGCCGAUCAGUUAGCCAGCAAAGGGGAAAGUGUGGGAAAGAAGGAGAAAGGGAGCAGCUGGAAGGCUUAGAGAGAAGUGGGAGGAACGACGUUAUAG
rnacentral:lncRNA from 1 species